GACGAACGCUGGCGGCGUGCCUAAUACAUGCAAGUCGAACGCAGUGGGGACGGGUGAGUAACACGUGGGUAACCUCCCCUCAGAGGGGAUAACACUUGGCAACAGGUGCUAAACCGAUCUUGCUGUAUGGACCCGCGGUGCAUUAGCUAGUUGGUGAGGUAACGGCUCACCACGGCCACGAUGCAUAGCCGGACUGAGAGGGAGAUCGGCCACACUGGGACUGAGACACGGCCCAGACUCCUACGGGAGGCAGCAGUAGGGAAUCUUCGGCAAUGGACGAAAGUCUGACCGAGCAACGCCGCGUGAGUGAAGAAGGUUUUCGGAUCGUAAAACUCUGUUGUUAGAGAAGCGGUAUCUAACCAGAAAGCCACGGCUAACUACGUGCCAGCAGCCGCGGUAAUUC
rnacentral:rRNA from 1 species